rnacentral:lncRNA from 10 species
UUCUAGCCUAUCUAAGGGCUUUGGAGAGCAAAAGCAAAAGAUUAACUAACUGCUCACAUGGGUCCCAGGAAAAUACAAAAGCACUACUGUUUAACAGGAAAGUUACUAUCCAGAAAUUAACCCACAAAGGUGGGAAGAGUAUUUACCCGCUAAUCUCUUUAUUCCCUCGCCUGACAAAAUAUCUGCAUUCCUGGGCGGCCUCAAGAAAUGAACUACAGACAUCUAUUCCCUUUGUGAUACCUCCUUGGAAUCAAAGUGUGGAGUGUAACAAUGUGCCUCCACACACUCACACUAGUUGAUGCUUCAUCUUGGUGAAAUCAAGUUUUUGGAAUUACCUUUCCUAAGAUCAUUCUAUUCACAGAGAAGGAGCUUAAUGAAACUAUGGUGGAUGUAUUCUAGACAGAAGAAGGAUUAAACCAAGAUAAAAACAAUGUGAAUGAGGAAAGUGGGAGUAACAGGGAUUCCAAGAGAAAGAUUUUCCAUUUGUCAAAAAUGAGGAGUACUAAUCAGUAGUGCUAUGGAAACAAGACACUAACAGUUAUAGUCCGGAAGAAGAGAUGAUAACAUCUGUCCCUAAAAAGAGAUGCUGUGAGAAUGGGUAGCCAUCGAAAGCAAUUCUGUUCAUCAGACAAGAGUUCUUGCUAUUUACACCACAUCUGCAGUGACUUCCUCCACUGAAGUAUUGAACCUUUAAAGUCAUCCAUGAAGGUUGAAAUCAACUUCUUCCAAACUCCUCAUAGGAUUGAUAUUUUGACCUCCUCCCAUAAACGACAAAUUUUCUGAAUGUCAUCUAAAAUGGCAAUUUUUUUCCAGAAGGUUUUCAACUUUGCCCAGAUCCAUUAGAGGAAUCACUGUAGCAGUUAUAUCCUUAAUAAAUGUAUUUGUAAAAUAAUAAUACUUGAAAGUCAAAAUUACUCCUUAACUGUGGGCUACAGGAUAGAUGUUGUGUUAGCAGUCAUGAAAAAAACAUUAAUCUCCUUGAACAUCUUCAUCAGAGCUCUUGGGUAACCAGGUGCAUUGUCAGUGACCAGGAAUAUUUUGAAAGGAAUUUCAAAAGGUCUCAACAGUAAGGCUUAAAAUAUUCAAUAAACCAUACUGUAAACAGAUGUGUUGUCAUCUAGGCUUUGUUAUUUCAUUUCUAGAACAAAUGCAGAGUAUAUUUAGCAUAAUUCUUAAGGACCCCAGUAUUUUCAGAAGGGCUAAUGUGUAUCGUCUUCAUCUUAAAGCCACCAACUGUAUUAGCUCCUAAAAAGAGAGUCAGCCUGUUCUUUGAAGCUUUGAAGCUAGGCAUUGACUUCUUCUCUCUAGCUACAAAAGUUCUAGAGGGCAUCUUCUUCCAAUAGAAGGCAUUUUGGUCUACAUUAGAAAUCUGUUGUUUAGUGUAGCCAUGUUCAUCAAUUAUCUUAGGCAGGAGAACUUCAGCUGGAGAACUUGCUGUAGCUUCUUGCACUUGCUUCACUUGCACUUUUAGGUUGGAGACGGUUUUAUAAAGAUAAUUUAUUUUCUUAAAUCCCAUGAAUCAACACCUACUAGCUUUAAACUUUUCUCUUCAGCUUCCUCACCACUCUCAGACUUCAUAGAAUUGAAGAGGUUAAGGCCUUGUUCUGGAUUAAGCUUUGGCUUAAGGAAAUGUUGUGGCUGAUUUGAUCAUUUUUAUUCAGACCACUCAAAAUUUCUCCAUUAAGCCAUAGGCUGUUUUGCUUUCUUAUAAUUUGUGUGUUCACUGGAGUCACACUUUUAUUUUUUAGAGACAAGUUCUUGCUCUAUUGCCCAGGCUGCAGUGCAGUGACACAAUCAUAGCUCACUGCAACCUUGAACUCCUGGGCUCAAGUGAUCCUCCUGCCUCAGCCUCCCAGGUAGCUGGGACUAUAGACAUGCACCACCAUACUUGGCUUAUUUUUUUUAAAUAAGUCUUCACUAUGUUGCCCAGGCUGGUCUUGAACUCCUGGUCUCAAGGAAUUUCCCCACCUUAGCCUCCCAAAACUCUAGGAUUACAGGCAUAAGCCACCACACCUGUCCUGGAGUAGCACUUUUAAUUUCCAUCAAGAACUUUUCCCUUGCAUCCACAACUUGGCUACUUGUUGCAAGAGGCCUAGCUUUCAGCCUAUCCUGACUUUCAACAUGCCUUCCUCACUAAGCUUAGUCAUUUCUAGCUUUUGAUUUAAAGUGAGAGCCAUGUGGCUCUUCCUUUCACUUGAACACUUCGAGUCCAUUGUAGAGCUAUUAAUUGCCCUAAUUUUUUUAUUGUUGUUUUAAUAUUUGCUACUACCACCAAGAUCUGCGCCUGCAGUGGCUCCACCCAGGCCCAUGUUCUAUUAAGGGACAUUGCAAUGGCCCUUCUACUCAUCUUGGCAUAGUGUCUUUAGGCUUGGGAGAUCUGAGCACUGCUCUGUCCUUCCUGCUCUAGUCCCUCUACUAGCAAUGGCUGCAUAUUGGCUCAACUCCUCAGCACCAUCCAUUUUCAGGGACAGUUGAGUAGUCAGUUGAGUUGUUAUACACUCCUUAGUGGAUUCUGACUUCCAUGGUCACUGUACUGUUGUAUAAUCAACUAUCCUAAUUUCAACAUUGUUGUGUCUCAGGGAAUAGGGAGGCCUGAAGUUAAGGAGAGACAUGGAGCAAUGAUCAAUCAGUUGAGCAAUCAAAACACACACAACAAUUAUCAAUGAAGUUUACUGUCUUAUAUGGGCAUGUUUUCUGGUGCCACAAAACAAUUACAAUAGUAACAUCAAAGGUCACUGAUCACAAAUCACCGUAACAGAUAUAAUAAUAGUGGAAGUUUGAAAUAUUGCAAGAAUUACCAAAAUGUGUCACAAAGACCUGAUGGACUUGCUAGAGGCAAGGCUGCCAAAAACUUUCAAUUUGUUAAAUAUGCAAAAUCUGCAUGGUAAAAUAAAGCAUAGCACAAUAAAAAGAAAUAUGCAUGUAUACACUAUUUAUAAUGUAUAUCCCUACAUAUAAUAUAUAUCAAUAUAUAAUAAAUGUACGUAUUGUUACAUAUUUGCAAAUAUAUAUGGUGAAAUAUAUCCAUGAGUUGCCAAAUCUGUUUUCACAACAUUAUGAACCUUCAAAAACAUGCCCAGCAAGGAGUCAUGAUGGCUGUGCAUACCCACGAACAGGGUUGAUUAGAAACAACUGUUUCAUUUACACAACACUGGGUCAUAUGACAAAUAAAUAACAGCAACCUGCCUAUUUUUAAAAUUUUGACAUCUUGCUUCUCAUGAAUUUUUUUAAUUUUUGAUUUUUUAAAUUCAUUGCCUUAACUAUUAUUUAGCCUGAUUACUGAGUUUUUGGCACCACUUUUAAAAAAAUAACUCAUUUAUUUUGAAAUGAUUUUCAUUGUAUAUAUUUAUGGGGUACAACAUGACUUUUUCAUAUAUGUAUACAUAAUGGAACAAUUAAUCAAAGUAAAUAACAUAUCUUCACCUCAUAAACAUCUUUUCUGUGGUUAGAACAUUUAAAAUCUACUUUCUUAGCACUUUUCAAGUAUGUAGCACAUUAUUAUUAACUAUAGUCACUCUGCUGUAUAACAAAAUAAAUGUCCAGAACUUAAUCAUCUUGUUUAACUGAAUCUUUCUAUAUUUUGACAAACAUCUGUCCUUGUUCCCAGCCUAUGAAAAGAAUACCCUACUCUUUUGAGUUCAACUUUUUCAGAUUCUACAUAAAAGUGAGAUCAUACAGUAUUUUUUUCUGUGCCUAGCUUAUUUUACUUAGCAUAAUAUCCUGCAGAUACAUCCAUAGUAUCUCAAAUAGCAAGAUACCCUUUUUUCUAAGGCUGAAUCUUAUUCCAUUGUGUGUAUCCGUCCCAUUUUCUUUAUCCAUUCAUCCAUCAAGAGAUAUUAUUUUAUUGUCAUAUCUUGGCUAUGAAUAAUAGUUCGCUAUUAAGAAUAAUGCUGCAAUGAACAUGAGGCUGUAGAUACCUCUGUGACAUAACUGAUUUCAUUUCCUUUGGAUAUACACACAGAAGUGGAAUUGCUGGAUUAUGUGGUAGUUUUAUUUUUAAUUUUUGAGAAACCUCCAUACUACUUUUCAUAAUGGCUAUACUAAUUUACAUUCCCACAAACAGUGUGCAAGGGUUCCCUUUUCUCUACAUAUUUGCCAAUAUUUGUCUUUUGUAUUUUAAUAAAUGCUAUUCUCACAGGUGUGAAGUGAUAGCUCAUUCACACCUGUGAAUUUGCAUUCCCCUGAUGAUUAGUGAUGUGAAAUAUUUUUUUUUUUGUAUACUUAUUGGCCUUUUGAUUCUCUUCUUUUGAAAAAUAUUUAUUAAAGUUCUGUGCCCAUUUUUUAAUCAGUUUGUUUGUUUUCUUGCAUAGAGUUGAGUUCCUUAUAUAUUUUUUAAAUUAACCCUUUAUCAAAUAUAUUGUUGGUAUAGUUUGAAUAUUUGUCCCCACCCAAAUUUCAUGUUGAAAUGUAAUCCCAGUGUUGGAGUUGGACCCUGGUAGCAGGUGUUUGGAUCAUUGGGGAGGAUCCCUCAUGAAUGGCUUGGGCCGUCUCUUUGGUGAUAAGUGAGUUCUGGCUCUGAGUUCACAUAAGAUCUGGUCAUUUACAACUGUACAACAGCUCCUGGCUACUCUUUCUCUCACUUGCCACUGCCGUAUGGUGUUCCUACUCCCCCUUUGCCUUCCACCAUGAUUGUAAGCUUCCUGAAGCCUCCCCAGAGGCUGAGCAGAUACCAGCACCAGGCUUCCUGUAAAGCCUGCAGAACUGUGAGCCAAUUAAAUCCUUUUUCUUUAUAAAUUACCCAGUCUCAGACAUUUCUUUAGAUCAAUGUGAGUGAGCUAAUACAAUGGUUUACAAAUACUUUCUCUUGUUAAACAGGUUGUCUCAUGAAUAGCUUGUUGAAUGUUUCCUUUGGUGUGCAGAAGCUCUUUAGUUUGAUGUAAUCCCAUUGCUUUAUUUUUCCUUUUGCUGUCUGUGCUUUUGUGAUAAUAUUCAAUAAAUCUUUGCUAAUACCAAUAUCAUGGAGCUUUUCCUCUAGUUUUUG